rnacentral:rRNA from 1 species
UGGGGAAUAUUGCACAAUGGGCGAAAGCCUGAUGCAGCGACGCCGCGUGAGGGAUGACGGCCUUCGGGUUGUAAACCUCUUUCAGUAGGGACGAAGCGCAAGUGACGGUACCUGCAGAAGAAGCACCGGCUAACUACGUGCCAGCAGCCGCGGUAAUACGUAGGGUGCGAGCGUUGUCCGGAAUUACUGGGCGUAAAGAGCUCGUAGUCGGUUUGUCACGUCGUCUGUGAAAUCCUAGGGCUUAACCCUGGACGUGCAGGCGAUACGGGCUGACUUGAGUACUACAGGGGAGACUGGAAUUUCUGGUGUAGCGGUGGAAUGCACAGAUAUCAGGAAGAACACCGAUGGCGAAGGCAGGUCUCUGGGUAGUAACUGACGCUGAGGAGCGAAAGCAUGGGUAGCGAACAGG